rnacentral:rRNA from 1 species
UACGUAGGGGGCAAGCGUUGUCCGGAAUCAUUGGGCGUAAAGCGCGUGUAGGCGGCUCGAUAAGUCUGCUGUGAAAGUCCAGGGCUCAACCCUGGGAUGCCGGCGGAUACUGUCGAGCUCGAGUCCGGAAGAGGCGAGUGGAAUUCCUGGUGUAGCGGUGAAAUGCGCAGAUAUCAGGAGGAACACCAAUGGCGAAGGCAGCUCGCUGGGACGGUACUGACGCUGAGACGCGAAAGCGUGGGGAGCAAACAGG